AUUGCUUCUCAGCCCUUUGGCUAAGACCUAAUGCAGUGUUUGUUCUCACCAGUUUACCGUCUGAUAUAUCCUCUAUCUGAGGACAAUAUAUUGAAUGGAUUUUGAAGCAGGGAGACUACGAAUUUCAACCUGGUACUGCAGUACCUCCAGGAAUGCAGCAUGUCCC
rnacentral:snRNA from 1 species